CCUACGGGUGGCUGCAGUGGGGAAUAUUGGGCAAUGGAGGCAACUCUGACCCAGCAACGCCGCGUGAAUGAUGAAGGUCUUCGGAUUGUAAAGUUCUGUGAUGGGGGAUGAACACAAUGACGGUACCCCAAUAGCAAGCCCCGGCGACCUACGUGCCAGCCGCCGCGGUAAUACGUGGGUGGCAAGCGUUAUCCGGAAUGACUGGGCGUAAAGGGGGCGUAGGUGGUUUAGUAAGUAGGCGGUGUAAUUCCGGGGCUCAACCGCGGCGCUACCGCCAAAACUAUUAGACUAGAGUGCAGGAGGGGUAAGUGGAAUUCCUAGUGUAGCGGUGGAAUGCGUAGAUAUAAGGAGGAACAUCAGUGGCGAAGGCGACUGACUGGACUGUAACUGACACUGAGGCACGAAAGCGUGGGGAGCAAACAGGAUUAGAUACCCGAGUAGUC
rnacentral:rRNA from 1 species